rnacentral:tRNA from 1 species
UCUUAUAUGGCAGAAUA